AAUGCAGUCGAGCGGAAGAUGGGAGCUUGCUCCCUGAUGUUAGCGGCGGACGGGUGAGUAACACGUGGGUAACCUGCCUGUAAGACUGGGAUAACUCCGGGAAACCGGGGCUAAUACCGGAUGGUUGUUUGAACCGCAUGGUUCAGACAUAAAAGGUGGCUUCGGCUACCACUUACAGAUGGACCCGCGGCGCAUUAGCUAGUUGGUGAGGUAACGGCUCACCAAGGCGACGAUGCGUAGCCGACCUGAGAGGGUGAUCGGCCACACUGGGACUGAGACACGGCCCAGACUCCUACGGGAGGCAGCAGUAGGGAAUCUUCCGCAAUGGACGAAAGUCUGACGGAGCAACGCCGCGUGAGUGAUGAAGGUUUUCGGAUCGUAAAGCUCUGUUGUUAGGGAAGAACAAGUGCCGUUCAAAUAGGGCGGCACCUUGACGGUACCUAACCAGAAAGCCACGGCUAACUACGUGCCAGCAGCCGCGGUAAUACGUAGGUGGCAAGCGUUGUCCGGAAUUAUUGGGCGUAAAGGGCUCGCAGGCGGUUUCUUAAGUCUGAUGUGAAAGCCCCCGGCUCAACCGGGGAGGGUCAUUGGAAACUGGGGAACUUGAGUGCAGAAGAGGAGAGUGGAAUUCCACGUGUAGCGGUGAAAUGCGUAGAGAUGUGGAGGAACACCAGUGGCGAAGGCGACUCUCUGGUCUGUAACUGACGCUGAGGAGCGAAAGCGUGGGGAGCGAACAGGAUUAGAUACCCUGGUAGUCCACGCCGUAAACGAUGAGUGCUAAGUGUUAGGGGGUUUCCGCCCCUUAGUGCUGCAGCUAACGCAUUAAGCACUCCGCCUGGGGAGUACGGUCGCAAGACUGAAACUCAAAGGAAUUGACGGGGGCCCGCACAAGCGGUGGAGCAUGUGGUUUAAUUCGAAGCAACGCGAAGAACCUUACCAGGUCUUGACAUCCUCUGACAAUCCUAGAGAUAGGACGUCCCCUUCGGGGGCAGAGUGACAGGUGGUGCAUGGUUGUCGUCAGCUCGUGUCGUGAGAUGUUGGGUUAAGUCCCGCACCAAGCGCAACCUUGAUCUUAGUUGCCACCAUUCAGUUGGGCACUCUAGGGUGACUGCCGGUGAAACGCGAGAAAGGGGAUGAAGUCGAGUGAUAAUGCCCC
rnacentral:rRNA from 1 species